CUCUCUAUUGCUAUUGUUCUUGUUCUAUUGUUCUUGUCUUUUGCUUUAGUUUAUAACAAACCACUAGUAAAGAUCCUUUAUACUAUUUGAAUUCUUAUUCUUUCCUUAAUCCUAGUUGUACGUAAGGUCUUCUUCAUGUUAAUUGUUGAUUACCACGUAUCAUAAAAAUUCCCUGUAAUUACCUAGCUUAAACAGUACUACUAGAAAGCUAGAAAGUUGGAUUUUCUGACGAAUAGUAAAGAUUUCUAUUAUUAUAUAUGUUGUUUUCUUUACUUUAGUUAUUUUAUUUUGCCGGCUGUUGUUAUUGUUUUUUUUUUUCAUUGCUUCUCCACUACCACAUUUCUUUAUCAUAAUUACUGUGAUUAUUCUUUUAUUAAGUUGAGAAUCUGUCAAAAAUAUAUUUUCUAUCUUCAAAGUCAAAUUGUAAAAUUACACUGAAUUUGUUGUUGUUCUUUAUAUAUAAAGUCAAUUUUAUUUUUCUGUAUACAUAUUAGAUGUUGCAUUUUCUUCACUUCUUUGUGAAUUUGUUUUUUUUUAUAUAGAUUUUCUUGGCGAAAAUUUUAUUUCCGCCACUAAAUAUUACUUAUAUACCAGAUAUUUUUAAUCAUGGUUGUACUUUUGUAAGGAACGGAAAAUACAAAGAGACUCAAAAGCUUGAAGCCGACAUGGAAUUGUGAGCUUAACCACCAACUUUGCCAGAAGGGAUGGAGAAAGACCUUCCAUAGUUUAAGUUAGGAAAUAGACACUUCAAAUGUCAUUUGUUGCGUUACUGUAUAGUAUCAAUCUGUAGAAGAUAUAUACAAGUGAUCAUAAAUGAAAAUGAUGGGGAAAAAAUGAGUUUAAUUUAUUUCCACACUUGGCUACCAAGUUAAGUUUUUUUUUUUCUUUUUCGGAUGCCUUUAAUUUCUAUGUAUGCAUCCUUUUAUUCUUUGUAUAGAAAUAAUAAUUGAG
rnacentral:lncRNA from 1 species